GGAAUCUUGCGCAAUGGGCGAAAGCCUGACGCAGCAACGCCGCGUGCGGGAAGACGGCUCUCGGGUUGUAAACCGCUUUCAGCAGGAACGAAAAUGACGGUACCUGCAGAAGAAGGUGCGGCUAACUACGUGCCAGCAGCCGCGGUAAUACGUAGGGCGCAAGCGUUGUCCGGAAUUAUUGGGCGUAAAGAGCUCGUAGGCGGUUUGUCGCGUCUGUCGUGAAAGCCCACGGCUUAACCGUGGGUCUGCGGUGGAUACGGGCAGACUAGAGGCAGGUAGGGGAGAAUGGAAUUCCCGGUGUAGCGGUGAAAUGCGCAGAUAUCGGGAGGAACACCGGUGGCGAAGGCGGUUCUCUGGGCAUUAACUGACGCUGAGGAGCGAAAGCAUGGGGAGCGAA
rnacentral:rRNA from 1 species